AUGACAUCCGCCUGCAGUUCUGUGGUUAGACUAUGUAUUAGCUCAUGUAAUCCUCCUAAGAACAUUAUGGGGUAAGUACUAUUAUGCUCUCUAUUUGUACAGGUGAGAAAACUGUACUACAGAAAGGUGAGCACCUUGCCCAAAGUUACGCAGAAAGUGAAAAAACAAGAAUUCUAACCCAGACAAGUAAGUUGUAUAAGCAAAUGAGGCUAAUAGAGAUGCCAACCAGGUGUUCAAAGGGUUAUAGUUACUUCUGGAAGUGAGGUGAGGCUCUGUAAUAGCUAAGACGUGAACCUGGUUCUCCAGGGUAGAGACAAGAGGCAACAAGAGAAGGGACUCUGCAAAGAAACCAGCAAUAGGUUGGGAACACAGGGAUGGAGAGCAGCCACGAGUUUACCUAGGUUGAAUUUGGAAAGUCUGUGCAGAGAAAGAUGCAGGUCCCACUGGGCAUGGUGGCUCACACCUGUAAUCCCAGCACUUUGGGAGGCCGAGGCAGGCGGAUCACUUGAGCCCAGGAAUUUGAGACCAGCCUGGGCAACAUGGUGAGACCCCAUAUCUACAAAAACUACAAAAAUUAGCUGGGCAAGGUGGCAUGCACCUGUGGUCCCAGCUACUUGGGAGGGUGAGGUGGAAGAAUUGCUUGAGCCCAGGAGGUGGAGGUUGCAGUGAGCCAUGAUCAUGCCACUGUACUCUAGCCUGAGCAACAGAGUGAGACCCAGUCUCGGGAGAAAGAGGGAAAGAAAGAAGGGAGAGAGGGAGGGAGGUAGGGAAGGAAAGAAGGAAGGAAGGAAGGAAAAAGAAAGAAGAAAGAAGGAAGGAAGAAAGGAAGGAAGGAAGGAAGAAAGAAAGAGAAAGAAAGAAAGAAAGAAAGAAAGAAGAAAGAAAGAAAGAAAGAAAGAAAGAAAGAAAGAAAGAAAGAAAGAAAGAAAGAAAGAAAGAGAAAGAAAGAAUCAUGCAGCUCCCUUAUUCCCCAGGCAUUCACUGAGCACUUAGUGUGUCAUAUGCAGGCUUUUAGGUUUAGGGUCCUGGGCAAUGAUACAGACAAGACAAACAGAGUCUCCUCCUUCAUGGAACUUACAUGAGUGGGACGGACAACAAACAAAUGGUCCAGACGAUUUCAGAUAGUGAUGAGUGUUCGGAGAACACUAAGCAGAAUGAUCUGAGUUUGCAACGGGCAUUGCAAUGCCUGCUGGGCUCCUUACCCCUCAGGACCUUUCCACUGGCUGCUCUCAAAGGCUGAAUAACCUUUGCCCUGUUGCUGCAGGGCCAGAUUCUCUUCUUGCAGGAUUCCUUUGACUAAACUGUCACCUUGUCAAAGAGGUCUGAUGCCGACUAAAAGUUCUCUGUUACUGGGCGUGCAGAGAGAAGCCUAUUGUGGCUGUAAGGAUGGGUGAAGGAGAAGGGCACAAAGUGGACAGCAGAAGCAGGAGCUGUCACACAGGCCUGGCCCAUCAUGGUGGAGAGUUUGGAUUUCAUUCUAAGCCAAAUGGGAAGUCAUUUUUCUUCUAAGCACAAGAACAACAUGACUGAAUUUAUGCUUUAAAUGAGCCACUUUGACUGCCCAGUUUCUCAACCACAUAGUCGAUAGAUAUAUAGAUGUAUAGAUGGGUAGGUUGGUAGACAGACAGACAGACAGACAGACAGACAGACAGGCAGACAGAUAGAUGUAUAUGUAGGUAGAUAGGUAGAUAGAGAGAUGAAUAGGUAGGAAGGUAGAUAGAUAGAUACAUAGAUACAUAGAGAGGUGUAUAGGUAUAGGUAGGGAGGUAGAAAGAGAGAGAGAUGUAUAGGUAGGUAAGUAGAUAGAUGUAUAGACAGAUAGAUAUAUAGAUAGAUAUAGAGAUAGAUAGAUGAUAGAUAGAUAGAUAGAUAGAUAGAUGUCUAUAGGUAGGCAGUUAGGUAGAUGGAUGCACAGAAGGAUGGACAGAUGGAUGGAGGGAUGGAGGGAUAGAUAUAGAUAGAUUUGUGAAUAUAGAUACCUAUCUGUCUCUCUCUAGCUAGAGAUAAAAUAGACAAGUGGCUUCAUGCAUCAGUAGCAUUGAAAGACACCUCGAAUGUGGCCUUACUUCAAGGUGAUGGAAUUUCUUUUUAAGCUCAGCUUCUACUUCCCUUCUGAGGAAGUUCAUGACAGGGAGCUGCUGCAACUGAUGUGACUUUCAACUCUAAUAUCCCGAUGAUGUAAAUGCACUGAUCAGCUCAGCAGGAUUUAAGGUGAGAUCUCUACUCAGGAAGAAUUAUGAGAAACAUUUUAAAUUCUUUAGCCAUCAAUUUCACUGCCAGUUAAACUCCAUCCUCAGACGUGAAAAAAAUGGCCAGCAGGUAAUUUUUGAAGUGGUGAAACUGCACUAUUUCUAUAUUUACAACCAAACCACAUUUGAAAGGAUGUGUUUUUGGCUCCAAAAUCCUUUUUUGGCUCUGUCCACCACUGGGGCCGUAACAGGAUUUAUGAAGUGGAGAACCACAAAACUUACAUAGAUGGAGAAAUAUAGAUUUAGAUACAGAUGUAGAAUAUAUAAAGUAGAUAUAGCUGUAGAAUACACAAACACAAAUAUAAAUGAAGGUAUAAAUACAGAAAAGGUAUGCAUGUAGAUGUAGAAGACAGACACAGGAUAGAUAGGCAGGUAAAUUGAUAGAUGAUAGAUGAUAGAUAGGUAGAUAGAUAGAUAGAUAGAUAGAUAGAUAGAUAGAUAGAUAGAUGAUAGAUAUAGAAAUGUGAAUGUAUAGAAGAGACAUAAAUGUAGAUAUAGAAUGGAUGUCAUUUUUGUGCUUAUGAGCCCCGCCAUUCACCUGCCCCUUUAUCUGCCCCCAAAAGAGCAAUAUUAGGGAGUAUAUAAAUAUUGUAAAUAAAGCAGAUAAAAGUAGAAAGAUGUUAAAAUCUCAGAGACAAUCACCAACUGCUAAAAGAUUCUCAAUGGAAAAACAAAUCGUAAAACAAAAAGCUGUGUUUUGCAUGAAAUUAGCUGGUUAAAUUAGCCUGAAAGAUUUACAAACCUCACCCACCUGUCUUAGAAAGAAUAUUCCAUAGAGAUAUUUGGUUACUACCUGGUUCCAACUCAUUUUCCUGGGUCAGAAACUGAUUUCUACUUUUAAGAAUUGACUUCUCUAUAGGAAGGUCCA
rnacentral:lncRNA from 1 species